UACGUAGGGUCCGAGCGUUGUCCGGAAUUACUGGGCGUAAAGAGCUCGUAGGUGGUUUGUCGCGUUGUUCGUGAAAACUCACAGCUCAACUGUGGGCGUGCGGGCGAUACGGGCAGACUGGAGUACUGCAGGGGAGACUGGAAUUCCUGGUGUAGCGGUGGAAUGCGCAGAUAUCAGGAGGAACACCGGUGGCGAAGGCGGGUCUCUGGGCAGUAACUGACGCUGAGGAACGAAAGCGUGGGUAGCGAACAGG
rnacentral:rRNA from 1 species